rnacentral:rRNA from 1 species
UGCAUGUCUAAGUAUAAGCAACUAUACUGUGAAACUGCGAAUGGCUCAUUAAAUCAGUUAUCGUUUAUUUGAUAGUACCUUACUACUUGGAUAACCGUGGUAAUUCUAGAGCUAAUACAUGCUAAAAACCCCCACUUCGGAAGGGGUGUAUUUAUUAGAUAAAAAACCAACGCCCUUCGGGGCUCCUUGGUGAUUCAUAAUAACUUAACGAAUCGCAUGGCCUUGCGCCGGCGAUGGUUCAUUCAAAUUUCUGCCCUAUCAACUUUCGAUGGUAGGGUAGUGGCCUACCAUGGUUUCAACGGGUAACGGGGAAUGG